AAGAGGACGUUAAUACAUGGAGAGUUGUAAUAGGAGGCAGUUACAGUGGCGGUUGAAGAAGUUGAGCAUGACUCCGAUUGGAAACGUUGGUUGUAACGGCUUUUCGAACCGAAGCUGACUCGGAACCACGGUGAGCUAACCGGAAAUGAAGGGAGAUAAAGAAAAUAUUAAGUGUGGGAUUAAGCUAAGGUUUCGUUGAUUAAUAGGAAGAAGAAGAAGAAGAGAAAG